UACGGAGGGUGCAAGCGUUAUCCGGAAUCACUGGGUUUAAAGGGUGCGUAGGCGGCGUUGUAAGUCAGUCGUGAAAUCGCUGGGCUUAACCCAUGCAAUUGCGAUUGAUACUGCGAUGCUUGAAUCAAGUUUAGGCAAGCGGAAUGUGGCAUGUAGCGGUGAAAUGCAUAGAUAUGCCAUAGAACACCGAUUGCGAAGGCAGCUUGCUGGGCUUCGAUUGACGCUGAGGCACGAAAGCGUGGGGAGCAAACAGGAUUAGAAA
rnacentral:rRNA from 1 species